ACUCCUAAUCUUUAAUUAUGUUUUAAGUUAAUUAUGUGAUGUGUUUUAGGCUUAAUAUGUGAGUUAUUGGAUUUAAUUUGCUAGCUAAAAGAAAUUGGAGCAUAAGUUGGCAUAUGGCACACACACACUCAAUAAUUUUUCUAAGCCUAGCAAAACAAAACUACGGUCUUCCCUUAUUCUUAUCAAGAAACGUAGAGAGAGAGAGAGAGAAACCGAUUAAGAGAGAAAAGAAGGAGAAGAAGAGGGGAAAAAUUAGGGGAAACCUUAUUUGCCUUGAAUUGAAGAUUUAACUUGGAAGUUCGAGUCGUCACGUGGAUCGAGGAAGCGACGUGUAGGGUGGCGCGGUGUUUUACUUUUGGGAUGUGUAGUAUUUCUUUUUGGAAGCUUGUAUAGAGGAAGUUGUGUUUGUGGACACUUAGCUUUGUACAUGGUUUGUUAGCUUUUGAGCUUGUAGUUUGUAAGUAAGCACAGCUUUGAUAGGUUUACUUUUGGUUUGUAAAACCUAUGUAAGACUUUGAUUUGUUAUCAAUAAAAGUUGACUUUUGCUUC